UAUUCAAAUAGAUGCAUCCGAAUAAUUUAUAAACACAACUCAAAAUGCAUCGGCCAAUAGUGGAUCUUUAGGAGUUAACGACUUUGGCUCUUAUUGUUUAGAUUCACCGGCAAAAAAUCAAAAUCAUUCCACGAUAAACGAUUCAUUUCAAUCGCUUAAUACUAAUUGUCGAGAUUCCACUCAAGGAUUCGAUUCCAGUUAUGCUCCGGAUAUAACUAACCGGUCCAGCAUUUAAAAUAAUUCCAACAUUAAACAAGUUUUUUCUUACACAACUUAAACUCCACUAAGUGAUGUAAGGGAUUUAAUUAUUCCAACUGCGAAAACCCAAACAAAUUGUAAGAAACAUUUUUGCUUAUUUUGCAAUAAAUUGCAAACAAAAUUUGCUCGUCACUUGCAGAGUGUUCAUAAAAAUGAGCCGCAAGUACAAAAAUUUUUGUUCCUGUCGAAAAAUGACAAAACUCGCAGAUUACUUAUUGAUGAGAUUAGGAAAAAUGGUGAUUAUAUCCAUAAUAUCGAUGCAUCGUUAAAUAACGGAACACUAAUCGUGCCCCGUCAAAAGCGUGUAAACUCUAAAAACAAAGCGGUUGAUUUCAUAUGUUGCAAGGGAUGUUCCGGAUUUUUCCCCAAAAGCACAAUACGGAGUCAUAUUAAUAAUUGCAAAGGCAGCGAUCAUAAGAAAGAAACUAGUGACUUGCUUCAACAAGGUCGCUCCAAAACCGGCUUCAUGCAUAAAAGUGCAAAUGACGUUGUGCGCACAAAAAUAAUGCAUGUUUUAAAUGAUGAUCCCAUUUCCAGAAAUCUUAUAUAUGAUGAAUUGAUUGUUUUAUUCGCAAACGCAGAAUCUAUGAAGCACGGCGAACUUCAGUACGAUAUGAUCAGAGCAAACAUGAGAUUGCUCAGGAGACUAUUACAUGAAAUAAAAAAAUCAGAAUCUAAUGAGAUACAGGAACUUAAAGACGCCAUUAAUCCCAAACAUUUGGAUUUGAUGAUAUCUUGUAUCAGAAAAGUGGCUCAGUGGGACUCUUCUUCGUUGUUUUUUAAAGCACCUUCAGUUGCAACGAACCUUACAACUCUAAUUAAAAAGUGCGCAGAAAUAUUGUGGACCCAUUGCAUUAAAACACAAAAUCAUGCAAAAAAAAAAAAUUAAUUAAAGAUUUUCUUGUUCUAUGGGUAACCGAAAUUCCUCUUUUUAUAAACAAAAAAAACCUAUAGAGGACCAGUCAAAGAAAAAAAGAGCCCUACCAACUAUUUUACCAUGUAAAGAAGACAUCAAAAAACUGAUUAUGUGAUAAAAAAUCGGAAAGCGCUCUUAGUGUGCUAAAAAUUAAGUUUGAUUUUUUAUCAUGGACAUCGUUGAUACAAAGCAUUCUAAUUGGCCUUCAAAUUUUUAACCGCCGUAGAGCCGGUGAAAUUGAAAGACUAACAAUUGAGAACUAUCUAACAGGGCACGCCAUCAAUAAAAAUGUAGAUAAAGAAAACUUUGAACGUCUCACGAAAGAAACUAGAGAAAUCGCUCAAAAAUACACAAGAUUGACUAUUCGUGGAAAACUCAAUCGAACUGUGCCAGUGCUGCUCACACCGUUUGACAAGUAUUGUAUAGAAACUAUUCUCAAACAUCGUAAAAGAGCUGGUGUUAAAAAAAGUAAUGAUUACAUAUUUAGAUGCCUAACGCCAAGCCCUUAGCAAAGCAAUAUGUAAGAGCUUGUCCGAUUCUAAAAAAAUUUGCCCAGGAAUAUGGGGCUCGCUGCCCAGGGGCUUUACGGAGAACGAUGCUUCGAAAGCAUUUAGCUACCUAUACAUCGAUGCUUAACGUCAAAGAUGUCCAAAUUGAUAGGCUUGCCAAUUUUAUGGAUCAUCAUAAAGAUAUACAUAAAGAAAUCUACAGAAUCCCUGUAUCAGUAGCGGAGAUAGCCGAAGUAUCCCAGAUGCUUAUGGCAGCUCUUGGAAAUAAUGUUGAGGAUGAAAACACAGUAGCCCUUGAUUAGUUAGAAGAAAAUAAGUACAUAGAUUCAUCAAGUUUGUGGGUGAUACUAAGAGUAGUUAUGGUGAAAAAUGUAAUAUCUUAACUUAACUAAUAAUUACUUGUCGGGCUUAUUGUGAAUGUUUUUACAUUGUACCUGAAAUCCAUUUUGCAGAUGAUCCUUUAGAGGAUUCGGAAUCAGAUUAAUCUGAACAGCGAUCAGAAAGCGACUUCCAUAUUUUCGAUGAUGAAAUUGUAGAAAAAUCUAAUAAAAAAGGAAAGCGCCCAAGUGAUCAUCAUUUGGAAAACCAUAAGAAACCGUUGGUCGAAUGAAGAGCGUGAAGAAAUAUACCAGGCUUUUGGAGACCUGUUGCCUCUAAAAGGAUUGCCGUCGCUUAAGCAAUGCAACGCAGUUAUAAAUAAUUCUACAUAUCUAAAAUGUAGGACACCGGCGCAAGUAAAAACCAUCUAUCAGCGCAAGGCUAAAUCAAGAAAAUCAACUCCGCAAAUAGAUUAAAUAAUGAAUAUGUUGACCAUAUUUAGAACUAAA